CGGGACGGGUGAGUAACGCGUGGGUAACCUGCCCCACACAGGGGGACAACAGCUGGAAACGGCUGCUAAUACCGCAUAAGCGCACAAGGGCUGCAUGGCCUGGUGUGAAAAGCUGAGGCGGUGUGGGAUGGACCCGCGUCCGAUUAGGUAGUUGGCAGGGUAGAGGCCUACCAAGCCUGCGAUCGGUAGCCGGCCUGAGAGGGUGGACGGCCACAUUGGGACUGAGACACGGCCCAAACUCCUACGGAAGGCAGCAG
rnacentral:rRNA from 1 species